AGUUGUAUAGUGUAGUGGUUAGCACUGUGGGCUUUGAUUCAUCGGGCUCGGGUUCGAAUCUUGGUGGAACCU
rnacentral:tRNA from 1 species